rnacentral:lncRNA from 1 species
UAUGGGUAUCCACUCAGGAUCAACUUGGAAUAGCCCUCUUUAGUGUUGAUCUUUCUUCUUCAAGAAUGAUCACCCUAUGAAUCUGAACAAAGCUUGGAUCAUGAUCAACUCUUUGAUCCUUUCCUUGAUCUUUUUUUUUUUCUUCUUUUUCUCUUCUUCCUUAAUUAUAAAGCAACCAAGUUCUAGAACCAGCAAGCAAAGGGGACGGUCAAGCUCCUCUUAGGCGUGA